rnacentral:tRNA from 1 species
GCGCUGGUGCUGGAACUGGCAGACAGGCAUGGUUGAGGGCCAUGUGUCGCAAGACGUGCGGGUUCGACCCCCGCCCAGCGCA